GAAUCGCGAUAGGAAUUGCGAAUUGCAGAAUUCAGUGAAUCAUCGUAACUUUGAACGCAAACUGCGCUUGGGGGUUGACCCCGAGCAUGCCUCUUUGAGUGUCGGUCAAACCAUCCUGCUGGUUUUCCACAGGGUCGUGAGAGUCCUGACGGUCUCUGCAAGCACACGGGCUCCCGCAAGGGAAGCGCGUUGCAAGUGGCUCCGGACACGGCGCGUGGAGAUGAGAAUCAUCACAAGCAGUCCCCAGUCCCUGCAGCGAGCUCUAGGCCCUUCGUUCUCCGGAACACGCUCCUGACCAUCGACCUCAAAUGAGGUAGGAUUACCCGCUGAACUUAA
rnacentral:misc_RNA from 1 species